GAGAGUAGCAGCAGUGUAAAAACAAAGGGGCAGGGGAUAGACAGUACAGUGCAUUCGGAAAGUAUUCAAACCCCUCGACUUAUUCCACAUUUAGUUGUGGUACAGCCUGAAUUCAAAAUGGAUUAAAUAGAUUAUUUUUCUCACCUAUCUACACACAAUAUGCAUGUUCAUUUUCACAUAAACAUUUUGGUAAAUUAGCAGACCUGUAUAUCCAGAGUGUUUUGCUCAACUAAGGUAGUUAAACCACAACAUAUCACAGUCAUAGCAAGUAAAACGUCCCUGUAACGGUUAGUGACAACGUUGUUGCUGUUCGGGCUGGCUGCUGUAACGUCCAGUCCAGUAUGGGUUGACGGCAAAGAGAGAAGAUGGCAGGGUCUGAUUUUCCAUGGCACCAAGAACGUCCAUUUGACAUUGUGGCUUGGGGAAGUUGUUUUCCCUUCUCCUGACUAAUUCAUGGGUCCAAAUGAGUGAACUGAGCCUGGACACAUGCAGGACACGAGACCUGAGACUAAUGGAUCGAAACACUGGUCGACCGCAGAGGCCGGGGAAACCAAAAGCAAUUUCCUACUCGAUGGUUCUGGCACACACCGUGCCAAGAUGGGCGACAGUGGAGAGGUGUGCGUAACCAGCACCAAAAGUCAACGAGUCACUGAGACAGCUGCUGACUAUUUUAUGCCCUAAUCCAACUACAAUAGAAUAGAAUAAAAGGUGAUUUGUCAAUAAAAACUCUAACAUUACAGGCGUCAGAAAAUUAGAAUAGCGUGACAUUGGCCAAAAAUAGUUCCUGACAACAUUGUGACUGGGACAGAUUAGUUAGGAUCUCAUCUCUUCCCUCUAGGCCUACUCUUGAGCUGACAGAGGUGCGUGCUUUAAAAUCUGAGUUUGGGAUGUUCCUGAACCCAUUGUGUUCUGGGACAGACGAGUUAGUAGUAAGAAGCCUGAUGGAGGUGCGUGGUGCAGGAGUUGUGCAGGCAGCCAGGCACGGCCCACCUUGGCCAGUAUACCAUGAUCAGACUCACCUCCGGCCCAGUUCCACACUAACAAGAGGAUUAUGUCCCAGACACAGAGGCAGGGAGCAAAGGACACAAUCAGACUUAAUUGUAUGGUCCUCUGAGACCAACACCACUAGACAGAGAGAGAGUGAAAGAGAGCGACAGAGCGAAAGAGAGGCACAUAGAGAGAGAGACAGAGGGCGAGUGGGAAAGAGAACGAGAGAGCCAUGUAGAAGUAAAAUAUUUUAAUGUAGAGGACAAUAUAUUUACCACCUGCCAAGACAGAGCUUCAUACUAUAUUGAUGAUAAUAUGUAUUCAGACGCAUCAUCUGUGCUAGAAGCCAUCCACAUGGCAAGGGAGCGAAUGCUGGUAGAAAUGAUUUAUAGAAGAUUUAUAGAAGACAGAGGGUCACUGGUCAUAGAGAUUGAGCCAGAGCUACACUACCGUAACAACACCAUGUAUAUACAUGUAUCACGAGUGAUUGUCCCAGUUCAUGUGUUGUAUAUGUUAUAUGUGAUCUGGAAUUGUGUGAGUUUAUGUGUUUUCUGAUGUACGUAUGUAUGGUUUAGUGCUUGUUUGUGUGCCUAUAGGUUUAGGGCUCUGCAUGCAGGACAGAGAUAAAGGUUGUUUACUUGCUUUAGUGUGUGUGCCUGCGUGUGUCUGAGCGUGUACGUGUGUGUGUCUAAGCGUGUGUGUGCGCGUGUGUCUGAGUGUGUCUGUACCUGCCUGUGCUUAUGUUUUCCCUAGAUACACCGUCCUUUUUAAUCCAUGUCCUUUGGCGACAGUGCGGUUGCCAUGGCAGCAGGGCGAGGAGCCUGUCUACCCCUCAUAGGCACGCCCUACACACACCUGUUGCUAUUAGGCUAAUAGGGGCCGGUGGAGUGGGCUGUGCUGGAGUGGGGUGGGCUGGCCUGCUCCUAGGGGCCAUCUGUACUACUUGCAAGCCUGGGGGUCCCCUGAAAAGAGGGGUCUGGGACUGGGAGAUGUAACUCACACCACACAGAAGAUCUCAGGCCCAGCAGAUGUCUGAAGCAGUGUGCAAAGCUGUGAGAAACACCAAGCCCCAACACACCCUCUUCAGAGCUAAAGCACACCCACCAUCUCUGGUAGGUCUCAUCAAUAUGCCUGAGGACUGAAUAACUAAAGGUUUUUAACUGGGAUAAAACACACAAUUACCCCCGGACAAAGGAACUCAAUGUCAUUGUUGGAAGCUGACUAAUUGACUUGAGCAUGUUUUUGUAUGUUUCUAAUCACAUAACAAAGGGGGCCUGUCUCUGUUUCCAUAACGGUGAGAUGGGAGGCAUGUGUUAGAGAUAGAUUGUAAACUACUGCCCUAUGACGCUGUCUUAUAGCGUCAACAUUUGUAUAUAAUUAUAUUCUCUCAAUAUGUUAUAGCUUCACUGUUAUAUAUCACUAUAUUCUCUCAAUAUGUUUUAGCUUCACUGUUAUGCAUCACUAUAUUCUCUCAAUAUGUUUUAGCUUCACUGUUAUACAUCCCUAUAUUCUCUCAAUAUGUUUUGCAUCAUUGUAUUCAUUUGAGUACGAAUGGGUCUCUUAUUCUCCAAUAGCUCUUUGCAUAUGAGUCCGGAUAAUUAACGAUGGAGUUGGGCAGGCUGCAGGAAUGUAUACUCCCUAGUCUCAAAGCUUCUCCUGACUGAUAAGAAGACAGGGACUUGCGUGGAGGAGUACUAAAGGUUCCAGACUCAGGCUGGGACGAUAACACCACCUGCCAAGCCACAGAGAUUCAUUGUACAUCCUAGACUCAGGAGGGGGAGGACUUGUCUGGGACAAGGGUACAAACAGAGGUUAUAAAUAUAUGUGCGUGUAUAAUCAUACUUCGUCUUUGCAGCUGUAUGACCCAGUGCGGUUGAAUAAAUCUAGCUCGAGCACUCUUCAGAGUCCGACUGGAAUUUACACCAGAAUCUUGGAACCUAACAGCAUAUUUAAAGAAGCUGACAUAUAUUUAGACACAAGUUAUGAUGCAAUGUCAAUAUGAUCAAACACGUGUUAACCCUAAGCUACAAAGAAAAAUGAUCAACUGACAUUAAGCUAAAACCAAAACUCUGAACUUACAACCAGAUCAAAAACAGCUACGAUCCAGAACUUUAUGUCACCUCCAACCUAACCGUGUGUGCCCAGUUGAGAACCGGGAUACUGCCCCCGUUAUUGAAGUAGGUAGUUCAAUGCCAUAGAUGAAUAAGAGCGACAAUCUACAGUCUGUGAUUUAGGGGAAGUAGAGAAUGAACUGCACUUUUUAUUUUAUUGUACUUCAUAUGAUGAUUUGCGAGCUAUACUGUAAAAUGUUGCAUUGA
rnacentral:lncRNA from 1 species